rnacentral:rRNA from 1 species
GACGAACGCUGGCGGCGUGCCUAAUACAUGCAAGUAGAACGCUGAAGGAGGAGCUUGCUUCUCUGGAUGAGUUGCGAACGGGUGAGUAACGCGUAGGUAACCUGCCUGGUAGCGGGGGAUAACUAUUGGAAACGAUAGCUAAUACCGCAUAAUAGUAGAUGUUGCAUGACAUUUGCUUAAAAGGUGCAAUUGCAUCACUACCAGAUGGACCUGCGUUGUAUUAGCUAGUUGGUGAGGUAACGGCUCACCAAGGCGACGAUACAUAGCCGACCUGAGAGGGUGAGCGGCCAGACUGGGACUGAGACAGGGCCCAGACGCCUACGGGAGGCAGCAGGAGGGAAUCUUCGGCAAUGGACGGAAGUCUGACAGAGCAACGCCGAGGGAGUGAAGAAGGUUGUCGGAUCGUAAAGCACGGUUGUAAGAGAAGAACGAGUGUGAGAGUGGAAAGUUCACACUGUGACGGUAUCUUACCAGAAAGGGACGGCUAACUACGUG